rnacentral:rRNA from 1 species
CAGUCGCCGCGGUAAUACGGAGGGUGCGAGCGUUAAUCGGAAUUACUGGGCGUAAAGGGUGCGUAGGUGGUUGAUUAAGUUAUCUGUGAAAUUCCUGGGCUUAACCUGGGACGGUCAGAUAAUACUGGUUGACUCGAGUAUGGGAGAGGGUAGUGGAAUUUCCGGUGUAGCGGUGAAAUGCGUAGAGAUCGGAAGGAACACCAGUGGCGAAGGCGGCUACCUGGCCUAAUACUGACACUGAGGCACGAAAGCGUGGGGAGCAAACAGGAUUAGAUACCCCUGUAGUCCCUGUCUCUUAUAC